CUCCGGCUCGCCGCCCUCGGGAAUGGACACCUCGUUGGGCUUGACCGAGCCGUGCCGCCGCGCGAGGAGAGCGCGGAUGUGCUUGGCAGGCGACGGCGGCGGGAACGGGCGCUUGAGCCCGCCGCGCGCCGGGGUGGACGAGACGCUCGAGUUUGCCGGCGAGCCCUUGUAGCUGGACGGCGGGAGCGGGCUCGGCAGGUAGAACGGGAACUUGGGCUGUUUCGGCGUGCCUGGCUUCGCCGCGGGCGCCGCCGCCGACGGCGAGGUCGCCCCGUCCCCGCCGUCGCCCGCGCCGGAGGCUACGUGGGGAUCCUCCUCAGCCUCGGCCUCCGGGAUUUGCGUCGGCUUGCCAUGGCAGAGCCCCAUGGACCGGAUCAAGAGCUGGAGGAGGGGUCUAGCUCAACGACGCCCAACGGCCCAAUUGAAGCAAAAUUUCCUUCCUCCAAGAAACCAGGCAGCGGUGGGUCACAGCGGCAUCUUGAAUUCAGCUGGAGCUGCCCGAGAAAUCGACCAGAACCGGUCGCAAGGGACCCCCCCACGGCCUCCAAAUUCUUUCCUUGGACUUGUAGGGGAGCAACAAGAGCCGCGCCAAUACCAGAAAAGCAAGGAACCGCCUUGAGGCGAAGAUCUCGCCCGAAAACUUGGAACCCCAAGAAGAGAGA
rnacentral:misc_RNA from 1 species